AUGCACGCUGGCGGCGUGCCUCAUCCAUGCCAGUCGCGCGAACAGACGAGGAGCUUGCUCCUCUGACGUUAGCGGCGGACGGGUGAGUAACACGUGGAUAACCUACCUAUAAGACUGGGAUAACUUCGGGAAACCGGAGCUAAUACCGGAUAAUAUAUUGAACCGCAUGGUUCAAUAGUGAAAGACGGUUUUGCUGUCACUUAUAGAUGGAUCCGCGCCGCAUUAGCUAGUUGGUAAGGUAACGGCUUACCAAGGCAACGAUGCGUAGCCGACCUGAGAGGGUGAUCGGCCACACUGGAACUGAGACACGGUCCAGACUCCUACGGGAGGCAGCAGUAGGGAAUCUUCCGCAAUGGGCGAAAGCCUGACGGAGCAACGCCGCGUGAGUGAUGAAGGUCUUCGGAUCGUAAAACUCUGUUAUUAGGGAAGAACAAAUGUGUAAGUAACUAUGCACGUCUUGACGGUACCUAAUCAGAAAGCCGCGGCUAACUACGUG
rnacentral:rRNA from 1 species